AUCACCAUCUUAAAGGUAUGAAAAGAAGCAUUAGCAAGGAGAGAAGACUUUGCUAUCACAGUCCUUUGAAUACAUUCAGCCAAGCAAGGCAGCCAUGGAUCCCAUUACCCCAGCUUCUCAGCCAGUAGCACCCACCUGGGUGCAGGGAGGGAUCUCCAGGGAUGCAUAGCCAUUCAACACCAAGACCGUCAAUACUUAGCACCGCCUGGACGUAGUUCAUGCCAGAUCAGUAAUUCUGCAACACUGAGCAAGGCAGUGCAACUACAAGGUGCUGUAUAAAGGAAGAUGGCCACCUCAGGAGGUACGCACAUGACUUGCUCAAGCACCCAGGGAUGUCAUGUAGACAGGAAAAAAGGAGGAUAAAAGAGGGUCCAGCAACCAUGAGGAUAGGUUUCUGCCAUCAGAUCCCUCACCACGAUGGACUCGAGCUUUCUGCCAUCAGAUCCCUCACUACGGACCGUAUGCUGAUGGACUUCCCUGGGCCUGCUACCUGAGACCUGCUGCUUCCUCCCAGGCUUACUCUGCGGCUGCUUCCUGGACCCACCUGGUACCUGCACCCUCUCGUUGCCCAAGACCGGCCUCGCUGCUCUUGCCCUUCAGCCUUGGACCUUCCCUUCCCCAUCACCCCAAUCCGUAAUAGUGUCCGUCCUCCCCUUUCUUCAUCUCCCUUAUUAACAUUUGUAAUAAACUGGUCGGACCAACAUUUGAACCGUUGUUUCUUAAUCUCAAACCGGGCAUACAUAUUUCAAAGAACCUCCUCUCCCUCCUAUUAAUUGGAGCGAGACAGUGUCAUUAACAGGUUCACAUCCAAGUGGAAAAUACUGAAAUGUUCCUUUUAAAUGCAGGGGGGGGGAACACAGAAGUUUUUUGCAUGCUCAAAAUCUGAAAAAAGAAAUUCAUGCAAUGCAACUGAAGUAGCUUAUCCAACCUACUGGGAACAGAAUACUUGCCAUUGUCACAUUGUAAGAAAAGUACAAACACACUUCAGAAUGGGACAGCCUUUGGUUGAAAACCAGCAUCAAGCUUCUCAAAUGCCAUCCUUCUCAAUAUUCAGGACCUCUCUAUCAGACCAUGCAACUCUACAUGGAUAACAGAAGCAGCCAUCUGACAUGGAUGGGCCUCUGUGCUAUGAUGAACCUACAGAGAUGAUCUACUACCAUAGCUAUGUUGAGCAAAGAACACUUUUAGACUUUGUAAUUCAAGUCACAAGCAAAUAGCAUGUUUUUUUCCUGUCUAGAUUAUGCAAGAAGUGGAAGAGGUCAGCAUGUGUCAAGUACACAUGACAACACCUUUGCCUGGUAAAGACAACUUUAGAAUAGGAUUACAAAUCAGGUGUCUUGAGACACAGCAUGGCAUAAAAUCGAAGUCAUCUGUGUGAGAUCCACACAUGAGAUCAGUUAUCUGCUUAAUGAACAACAACACAGACAACAACAUAAGUAACUUACCCUGGUUUGAGUAGCUACUCAGUGCUAAACACAAGUUCACUCAUUUAUAUAAAUUAGGCAUGAAGCAUUUUCCAACCACAAUUUCCCCCCCCCCCAAAAAAGAAAGCAAAACUUGAUUUUCAGUUUCCUACAUCUGAAAUUGGCAGAAAACAUGAAUUUUCUCCUAUUUUAGUCUUUUCAACCAUAAGAAAGCCAAAGAAAUCAGUACAGACCAUUUUCUGCAAAAUUUUAGAGGUUAUGUGAUUGCCAGUAUGAGAAGGUAGGCUCUCCUACUCCUACUACAUCUUCUUUCCCUCUGAAGUUAUUUAAUCAAAUUUCUUCUCUGUAACUCCUAUGAGCUGGAUGACUCAGAUUUGAUUGAUGCAUCUGUAAUAGGCAAUAAACAAGUAUGUCCUACUUUACACC